rnacentral:rRNA from 1 species
CCUACGGGUGGCUGCAGUCGAGAAUCAUUCACAAUGGGGGAAACCCUGAUGGUGCGACGCCGCGUGGGGGAAUGAAGGUCUUCGGAUUGUAAACCCCUGUCAUGUGGGAGCAAAUUAAAAAGAUAGUACCACAAGAGGAAGAGACGGCUAACUCGGUGCCAGCAGCCGCGGUAAUACAGAGGUCUCAAGCGUUGUUCGGAGUCACUGGGCGUAAAGCGUGCGUAGGCGGGUUCGUAAGUCGUGUGUGAAAGGCGCGGGCUCAACCAGCGGAGGGCACAGGUUACUGGGAGACUUGAGUACGGGAGAGGGAAGCGGAAUUCGCGGUGUAGCAGUGAAAUGCUUAGAUAUCGAGAGGAACACUCGUGGCGAAGGCGGGUUCCUGGACAUUAACUGACGCUGAGGCACGAAGGCCAGGGGAGCGAAAGGGAUUAGAUACCCUUGUAGUC